UGUUACUUUAUUGGGUUUCUUUGGCUGGGGCAUUUCUCAGUUUUCCCACCAGUGGGCAGUAGUACCCCUUGAGUUUUGUGGCUUCUUCUUUGGUUGUUUAGUGUGCGCUACACUGCCCCCGUUGGUGAUGUGUUGUAAGCAGCAGAAAAAGUUCGCACAGGCAGUGGGAGAAAACGCAUGGAGCAGAAAACAACCUGCACAACUUUAAGCCCAGUUUACAUCGUUGGGGAGUUUGUUGAACCAUAAUCUGUAAGUAAUCAAUGUGUAGCUUUAUUUUCUGUAAGAUUUGUUACUUUCAUGUUACUUAAAAGAGUAUUUGAACGUGUAAAGAAAGAUGUUUAUGGCGAAUGCAAAGCAUAAGAAAAGCUGUUGCUAACUUCUGUUUCUGGUUGCAAAUAUGUCGAUACUGACGCUUGCAUAUUGUUUUACUGUAUGUUCACAGUCUUACAAAUUAAAAGAGGAAAAACGGUCUUCAGUGAAAGACAAAAGGCAAAGCGAUGUGUCCUGUCGUUCCUGGAACCAUCUCCUCUUAUGUUAAGCUCGCUGCAUAGGGUGAAUAGCCAUACAUUCACCUGAGGGCAGCAGAGUAAGAAGAUUAUCUACCUAUCAAGCACCCAAGAUGUCUCAGCCUGAAGCUUCACCGCCGCUCUCCCAGAUGGUGGUCCGGUCAGAGUGCCACUCACGCUCCUCACGUUCUUCACGUCGUUCAUCCACCAGUCAAGCUGCAGCCCGAGCCAGAGCAGAAGCAGAAGCCGCCCGCACCAGAGCACAGUACGCCAAACGCCAGAUCGACAUGGAGGUUGAGAAGGCACGCAUCGAGGCAACACUAAACGCUCUGAAGAAGGAGGGUGAGGCUGAAGCAGCGCUCGCCGCAGCUCAUGUCCUGGAAGCGGCAGCCGAUGAGGAGCAUGACGCCGUUGACCUCACAGAACAAGGAGUCUCCUCUAAGACACCUCCUUCCAUCAGACGCGCUCAAGAUUAUGUGAACGCUCACUUCGCUAACUGCAGCUUGGUAGUCAAUGAAGACGGAAAGCCUGAUACAGGACAACUGGUCGGUAAUAACGACGCUCAGCAUCUACGACAGAGUCAACCACCAGUUGCCUCCUCUCCAGGUGAACAUCUCGCUGAUUUUGUAGAUCAGAAGCAACCAAAGUCCUCUCCUAUACACAGAAAAACUGACAUUUCAACCCUGCCUCAACCUUCAUUGCCUCCAAAGACUGAACUCUCAGAUUUCACAGCCUAUCUAGCACGCCGUGAUCUGCUGACAGCGGGAUUCAAGGUUUUCGACAACCGUCCUGAGUCCUACUUGUCCUGGAAGUCCAUUUUCCGCAACGCCAUAGAAGGCCUCAACCUCAAGUCCAGCGAAGAGCUUGACCUCCUCACCAAGUGGCUCAGCGGGGAGUCACUACAACAUGCUCUGAGGAUCAGGGCAGUCCAUGUGAACAACCCACACGCAGGUCUUCAGCGUUUGUGGCAACGUCUAGAUAAAAGUUUUGGUUCUCCAGAGGUAGUCGAAGCGUCACUUUUCCAACGCUUACACUCUUUUCCAAAAAUAUCUAAUAAGGACACUCACUUAUUGCAGGAGCUUGCAGAUCUCCUGUUGGAAUUAGAGUAUGCACAAAGUGAAAAUUAUCUACCCGGCCUUAGCUUUCUGGACACCCCAAGGGGGAUAAACCCGAUAGUGGAAAAGCUCCCCUACGGACUCCAGGAGUCCUGGGUGAAACAGGGGACAAAAUACAAAAAGGACAAUGGUGCAGUUUACCCACCUUUCUCAUAUUUUUUUCAGUUCAUAAAUGACUAUGCAGAAAUGAAAACAGAUCCUAGCUUUAUGUUACAAAGUUCAAACAUAGUGGCUCCAAAACCUGAUAAGCCAUUGUUGAAACCAACUAAAUACAGAGGUCCGGUUGCAGUGAACAGAACAGAUAUUAGUCAAACAAGCGUCACGGCUCAAACAUCAGUUCUCAACCCAGACAGACAAUGUCCUAUUCACCACAAGCCCCAUUCACUUGCCAAAUGCAGGGGUUUUAGGUCAAAAACACUAGAUGAAAGGAAAAUCAUCCUCAAAGAACAUGCUAUUUGUUAUAAGUGUUGUUCUUCCACAGGUCACCGAGCUAAGGAUUGCAAAGCCAUUAUCCAAUGCUCGGAAUGUAAUAGUGAUGCUCACGUGUCUGCCAUGCAUGCUGGUCCACCUCCGUGGGCAACCAAGGACUCUAACCUCCUGCCUCAAAGCCACGGCGGGGAGUCUGAUCCUUCAAGCCCUGUAACCACAACUGCUUGCACAGAGGUGUGUGGCCCAGGUCUAAAUGGCAAAUCCUGCUCUAAGAUUUGUUUAGUCGACGUGUAUCCCCGCACAAACCCUGAAGAGAAAAGGAGGAUGUACGCCAUGUUGGAUGAUCAAAGCAACUCAUCCUUAGCCAGGUCUGCUUUCUUCGACAUGUUUAAUGUGAAAGGCACUAUGCUCCCAUACACCAUGAAAACAUGCGCAGGUUUAUCAGAGGCUGGAGGACGCAGAGCAACUAAUUUUGUUAUUCAGGAUGUAAAUGGAGAAGUGUCCAUGUUGCUGCCCACACUGACAGAAUGUGAUCACAUUCCAGAUAAUAGAGAUGAGAUACCCACCAAGGAGGCUGUGUCGGCUCACCCGCAUCUACAUGCACUCGCUUCACAGAUCCCUCCUCUGGACCCAGCCGCGGACAUUCUCCUCCUCUUGGGCCGGGACAUCAUCCAAGCGCACAAGGUUCGCAGUCAGGUAAAUGGUCCAAACAGUGCACCUUAUGCCCAACGCCUUGAUCUGGGAUGGGUGGUUGUAGGUGAUGUCUGCCUUUCGGGGGCCCACAAGCCCACAGUAAACUCUUUUAAGACAGACAUUCUGAAUAACGGGCGUCCUACCUUCUUUAGCCCCUGUGAAAACAAACUCUAUAUCAAAGACAAAUACACAGAAAGCUGUCCUACAUUCGAGAAGACACAAGCGGAAUUAGGCAGACACAUUUUCCAGCAAACAGUAGAUGAUGACAAAACGGCUCUUUCAGUAGAAGAUGCCUUGUUCCUGGAAAUUAUGCACAGAGACUUUACUAAAGAUGAGGCGAACAAUUGGGUAGCUCCACUCCCAUUCCGCUCCCCCAGACAGCGUUUACCUAACAAUAGGGACCAAGCCCUCAGUCGCUUAAUGUCGCUCCGCAAAACACUGAAAAAGAAACCUGAAAUGACGGAACAUUACAUUGAGUUUUUGGACAAAACUUUCAGUAAGGGCCACGCUGAACCAGCUCCAGCUCUAGCUCCAGAACAAGAAUGCUGGUAUCUCCCUAGUUUUGGCAUUUACCACCCUCAGAAGCCAGGAAAAAUUAGGGUGGUUUUUGAUUCAAGUGCGCAAUACAACAAUGUUUCUCUCAAUGAUGUGCUACUAAAAGGCCCAGAUCUCAAUAAUACUCUUGUGGGAGUGCUGAUGCGUUUCAGGUCCGACCCAUACGCAGUCAUGGCCGAUGUGGAGCAAAUGUUUUACAAUUUUGUUGUCAGAGAAGACCACCGCAACUACCUCCGCUUCUUGUGGUUCAAAAACCAUGAUCUGGAUGGAGAAGUACAGGAAUUCAGGAUGAGAGUCCACGUGUUCGGGAACUGCCCCUCCCCAUCAGUGGCCAUUUAUGGACUGAAACGAACAGCGAUGGAGGGAGAAAAAGAACACGGCAAUGAUGUAAGAGAGUUCAUUGAACGCCACUUUUAUGUGGAUGAUGGACUAAAAUCAUUUCCUUCUGCUGAUGAGGCCAUCAACAUUCUCUGUGGGGCUCAGAAGAUGCUGGCUCAGUGUAACAUACGCCUGCAUAAAAUCUCAUCCAACUGUCCUACCAUCACAAACGCUUUUCCAAGUGAGGACCUUGCAGCUGACAUGCAGGGCCUUGACCUUGGGCAGACACCCAUGCAGCGAAGCUUGGGCUUGGGCUGGGACCUGUCUACAGACUUGUUCAGGUUCCAGAUAAUCAUCAAUGAGAAGCCCUUCACUAAGCGUGGAGUAUUGUCAGUCGUUAAUAGUGUGUAUGACCCACUUGGCUUUGCUGUCCCUGUCAUUGUAGAGGGCAGGGUCAUACUCAGAGACAUUUCCACUGACAUUUGUGAAUGGGACGCUGAACUCCCUAAAGACAAAUUACAACAGUGGCAACAGUGGAAACACUCCCUCAAACAUCUACAACAACUUGAGAUUCCCAGAAUGUUCACCUCAAUACCACUCUCUGCAGCAGUAACCAAGGAAAUCCAUGUUUUCUGUGACGCCUCUACCAAGGCAGUGGCUGCUGUUGCCUACCUUAAACUCACAGACAGAGAUGGUCAUAAUGAAGUGGGCUUCCUUCUUGGCAAGGCACGGCUUGCCCCAAAACCAGACAUCACCAUACCCAGACUUGAGCUCUGUGCAGCGGUCCUGGCUGUCGAGGUGGCGGAGUUAGUCGUGGACGAGCUGGACAUCGCAGUUGAUCAGGUGAGCUUCUAUUCAGACUCCAAAGUAGUCCUUGGUUACAUCUUCAACACAACGAGGCGUUUUUAUGUCUAUGUGCACAACAGAGUGGAACGCAUCAGGCGAUCUACACAAGCUCACCAGUGGCAUUAUGUGCCCACUCACUUAAAUCCUGCUGAUCAUGCCACGCGUGCAUUACCUGCUGAGCAGCUUUCUACCUCCACAUGGCUCAGUGGACCCGCAUUCCUUACCAAGUCAGAAGCAGGUCAAUCUCAGGCAGAGUCAUUUGAUCUUGUAGACCCAGAGACUGACAACGAACUGCGUCACGAGGUAACUACUUGUGUUACCACUCUUGAAAAGGAUGUUCUCAGUAGUGCCAGAUUCGAAAAGUUUUCAAGUUGGAAUGUACUACUGAAAGCUAUAUCUAAACUCCGACACAUUGUUCAGUGCUUUAAGCAGAACAUAGAAGGCUCCUGUCAGGGCUGGCACAGCUGUAGUGAGCAUUUAACUGAAAAGCAGCUUGAUCAAGCUAAGAUCAUUAUCAUUCGCACCGUCCAAAGAGAAGUCUAUGCAGAUGACAUAAGACAGCUUGAGAACAGUAUGCCCCUCAAAAGGUCAAGCCCACUUAGCAAACUGAACCCAUUUCUCGACACAAAUGGAAUACUCAGAGUGGGUGGGAGACUAAGACGAGCACAGUUGACUUCGGAUGAAACAAAUCCUAUCCUCAUCCCAUCCAAACACCACCUUUCCCAGCUCAUUAUAAGACACUUCCAUGUGAAAGUAUGCCAUCAGGGCAGACAUUUUACUGAAGGGGCAGUCAGAGCUGCAGGCUUUUGGAUUGUGGGAGGAAAAAGAGCAAUAAGCAAAAUGAUAUUCAGCUGCGUGACAUGUCGAAAACUAAGAGGCAGACAGCAGGAACAGAUUAUGGCUGAGCUACCAGAGGACAGGCUGUCCACUGACCCUGCUUUCACACAUGUAGGGCUUGAUGUGUUCGGGCCCUGGCCUGUCACUGUCAGAAAAACGCGUGGUGGGCAAGCGGAUGCAAAGCGAUGGGCAGUCAUAUUUACGUGCAUGAGCACACGGGCCAUUCACAUUGAAGUUAUAGAAUCAAUGGACACGUCGUCAUUCAUCAAUGCCCUGCGUCGUUUUUUUGCCAUCAGAGGUGCAGUCAAACUUCUUAGGUCCGAUUGUGGGACAAAUUUUGUGAGCGCCUGCAAAGAGCUGCAAAUAGACAAACAGGGCUGCUACAACAGCAAACUAAACAGCUUUCUGGAAGACUCUGGCUGCAAAUGGCUUUUCAACCCCCCACAUGCGUCGCACAUGGCUGGCUCCUGGGAGCGCAUGAUUGGGGUCACGCGGAAAAUCCUUGAUGCAAUGCUCCUAGAACACAGGAAUGCAAAGCUUACCCAUGAAAUACUGGUGACCUUAAUGGCUGAAGUCACUGCAAUAGUGAAUGCUCGUCCAUUAACAGCAGUUUCUGCAGAUCCAGAUAACCCAGUCAUCCUUACCCCUGCCAUGCUGCUCACGCAAAAGGUUGCGACCCCAUCAAUCCCACCAGGUCAGUUUGGAAACAGUGAUCUGUUCAAAGCUCAAUGGAGGCGUGUACAAUACCUCGCUGAUGUCUUCUGGAGACGAUGGAAAAAAGAAUACAUCUCAGGACUUCAGGACCGCCGCAAAUGGAAAACAGUGAAGCCUAACCUACAAACAGGUGAUGUUGUUCUUUUAAGAGAGACACUUGAACAUAGGAACAACUGGCCACUUGGACUUAUCACCAAAACCUUUCCUAGUGAGGAUGGGCUUGUAAGGAAAAUAGAGGUGAAGAUUUUCCGCAAGGGUGAACACAGGUGUUACAUAAGGCCUAUAAGUGAGGUUGUGCUAUUGGUGUCUAAGGAUUGUACUUAAAAGCAGAAACUUUGUUUCAUUGUAUGUCACUUGCUUUUUACAUGUUAGUUGAGAAUGACAUUCCACGGAUGUCAGGCGGGGAGUAUUCUGCCCCUCUGUUGUUACUUUAUUGGGUUUCUUUGGCUGGGGCAUUUCUCAGUUUUCCCACCAGUGGGCAGUAGUACCCCUUGAGUUUUGUGGCUUCUUCUUUGGUUGUUUAGUGUGCGCUACACUGCCCCCGUUGGUGAUGUGUUGUAAGCAGCAGAAAAAGUUCGCACAGGCAGUGGGAGAAAACGCAUGGAGCAGAAAACAACCUGCACAACUUUAAGCCCAGUUUACAUCGUUGGGGAGUUUGUUGAACCAUAAUCUUCUUACAAAUUAAAAGAGGAAAAACGGUCUUCAGUGAAAGACAAAAGGCAAAGCGAUGUGUCCUGUCGUUCCUGGAACCAUCUCCUCUUAUGUUAAGCUCGCUGCAUAGGGUGAAUAGCCAUACAUUCACCUGAGGG